GACGGAGGAUGCAAGUGUUAUCCGGAAUCACUGGGCGUAAAGCGUCUGUAGGUGGUUUAAUAAGUCAACUGUUAAAUCUUGAGGCUCAACCUCAAAAUCGCAGUCGAAACUAUUAGACUAGAGUAUAGUAGGGGUAAAGGGAAUUUCCAGUGGAGCGGUGAAAUGCGUAGAGAUUGGAAAGAACACCGAUGGCGAAGGCACUUUACUGGGCUAUUACUAACACUCAGAGACGAGAGCUAGGGUAGCAAAUGGG
rnacentral:rRNA from 1 species